ACCCGUUCUGGAAUUGCGCGG
rnacentral:miRNA from 1 species